GCCUCUGUGGUGUAGUGGUAGAGCACGCGUUCUUAGACAGGAUGGUACGUGGUUCGAUUCCCAACCGAGGCC